rnacentral:rRNA from 1 species
UGCCAGUCCAGAGGUGCAAGACCUCCGCAUACUGCUCAGUAACACGUGGAGCAUCUAACCUAUGGAAGGGGAUAACCCCGGGAAACUGGGGAUAAUACCCCUAUAGACUAUGGAUGCUGGAAUGCUUUGUAGUCGAAAGGUCCGCCGCCAUAGGAUGGGUCUGCGGCCGAUUAGGUUGUUGUUGGGGUAAAGGGCCCAACAAGCCUGUAAUCGGUACGGGUUGUGGGAGCAAGAGCCCGGAGAUGGAUUCUGAGACACGAAUCCAGGCCCUACGGGGCGCAGCAGGCGCGAAAACUUUACCAUGCGGGCAACCGUGAUAAGGAAACCCCGAGUGCCAGCACAGGCUGGCUGUCCGCCAGUGUAAAUAACUGGUGAAGAAAGGGCCGGGCAAGACCGGUGCCAGCCCGCCCGCGGUAAUAUCGGCGGCUCGAGUGGUGGCCACUAUUACUGGGCUUAAAGGGUCCGUAGCCUUGAUAUGCCAAGUCUCUUGAGAAAUCCGCCAGCUUAACUGGUGAGCGUUCAGGGGGAAACUGCAUUUCUAGGGACCGGGGAGAGGUGAGAGGUACUGCCGGGGUAGGAGUGAAAUCCUGUAAUCCCGGUGGGGACCACCUAUGGCGAAGGCAUCUCACCAGAACGGGUCCGACAGUGAGGGACGAAAGCUGGGGGGAGCAAACCGGAUUAGAUACCCGGGUAGUCCCAGCUGUAAACGAUGCGCGUUAGGUGUGUCAGUGACCACGUGUCACUGAGGUCCCGAAGGGAAACCGUGAAACGCGCCCCCUGGGGAGUACGGUCCCAAGCCUCAAACUUAAAGGAAUUGGCGGGGGACCACCACAACGGGUGGAGCCUGCGGUUU